rnacentral:rRNA from 1 species
UACGUAGGUGGCAAGCGUUGUCCGGAAUUUAUUGGGCGUAAAGCGCGCGCAGGCGGUCCUUUAAGUCUGAUGUGAAAGCCCACGGCUCAACCGUGGAGGGUCAUUGGAAACUGGGGGACUUGAGUACAGAAGAGAAGAGUGGAAUUCCACGUGUAGCGGUGAAAUGCGUAGAGAUGUGGAGGAACACCAGUGGCGAAGGCGACUCUUUGGUCUGUAACUGACGCUGAGGCGCGAAAGCGUGGGGAGCAAACAGG